AGAGUUUGAUCCUGGCUCAGGAUGAACGCUAGCGGCAGGCUUAAUACAUGCAAGUCGAGGGGUAGCAGGUCUGUAGCAAUACAGAUGCUGACGACCGGCAAACGGGUGCGGAACACGUACAGAACCUUCCUUCGAGUGGGAGAUAGCCCAGGGAAACUUGGAGUAAUAUCCCAUAGGAUCAUAGAGUGGCAUCACUCAGUGAUUAAAGAUUUAUCGCUUGAAGAUGGCUGUGCGGCUGAUUAGGUAGUUGGUGUAGGUAACGGCUCACCAAGCCUUCGAUCAGUAACUGGUGUGAGAGCACGACCAGUCACACGGGCACUGAGACACGGGCCCGACUCCUACGGGAGGCAGCAGUAAGGAAUAUUGGGCAAUGGAGGCAACUCUGACCCAGCCAUGCCGCGUGGAGGAUGAGGGUCCUCUGGAUUGUAAACUUCUUUUAUUUGGGAAGAAAUGCCGAUUUUCUAAUUGGUUUGACGGUACCAGAUGAAUAAGCACCGGCUAACUCCGUGCCAGCAGCCGCGGUAAUACGGAGGGUGCAAGCGUUAUCCGGAUUCACUGGGUUUAAAGGGUGCGUAGGCGGGCAUAUAAGUCAGUGGUGAAAUCCCCGAGCUUAACUUGGGAACUGCCGUUGAUACUAUGUGUCUUGAAUAUCGCGGAGGUAAGCGGAAUAUGUCAUGUAGCGGUGAAAUGCAUAGAUAUGACAUAGAACACCGAUUGCGAAGGCAGCUUACUACACGAUCAUUGACGCUGAGGCACGAAAGCGUGGGAGCAAACAGGAUUAGAUACCCUGGUAGUCCACGC
rnacentral:rRNA from 1 species